GCUGCGUUGGCCGAGUGGUUAAGGCGUUGGACUCGAAAUCCAAUAGGAUAUUCCCGCGCAAGUUCGAAUCCGGAUCGCAGCG
rfam:Ciona savignyi cont_59557, whole genome shotgun sequence.